rnacentral:rRNA from 1 species
AUUGAACGCUGGCGGCAGGCCUAACACAUGCAAGUCGAGCGGAUGAAGGGAGCUUGCUCCUGGAUUCAGCGGCGGACGGGUGAGUAAUGCCUAGGAAUCUGCCUGGUAGUGGGGGAUAACGUCCGGAAACGGGCGCUAAUACCGCAUACGUCCUGAGGGAGAAAGUGGGGGAUCUUCGGACCUCACGCUAUCAGAUGAGCCUAGGUCGGAUUAGCUAGUUGGUGGGGUAAAGGCCUACCAAGGCGACGAUCCGUAACUGGUCUGAGAGGAUGAUCAGUCACACUGGAACUGAGACACGGUCCAGACUCCUACGGGAGGCGGCAGUGGGGAAUAUUGGACAGUGGGCGAAAGCCUGAUCCAGCCAUGCCGCGUGUGUGAAGAAGGUCUUCGGAUUGUAAAGCACUUUAAGUUGGGAGGAAGGGCAGUAAGUUAAUACCUUGCUGUUUUGACGUUACCAACAGAAUAAGCACCGGCUAACUUCGUG